rnacentral:rRNA from 1 species
AUACGGAGGACGCGAGCGUUAUCCGGAUUCAUUGGGUUUAAAGGGUGCGUAGGCGGCCGUGCAAGUCAGCGGUGAAAGCCCGGGGCCCAACCCCGGAAGUGCCGUUGAUACUGCAUGGCUUGAAUGCGGUCGAGGCGGGCGGAACGUGGCGGGUAGCGGUGAAAUGCGUAGAUAUGUCACAGAACGCCGAUAGCGGAGGCAGCGCGCCAGGCCUGCAUUGACGCGCGGGCACGAAAGCGUGGGGAUCGAACAGGAUUAGAGACCCUGGUAGUCCACGCCGUAAACGAUGGGCGCUCGUCGUCGGCGGCAGACAGUCGGCGGCCAAGCGAAAGCGAUAAGCGCCCCACCUGGGGAGUACGGUCGCAAGGCUGAAACUCAAAUGAAUUGACGG